rnacentral:rRNA from 1 species
GAUGAACGCUAGCGGCAGGCUUAAUACAUGCAAGUCGAGGGGUAGCAAGAUUGUAGCAAUACAAUUUUUGACGACCGGCAAACGGGUGCGGAACACGUACACAACCUUCUUACAAGUGGGGGAUAGCCCAGAGAAAUUUGGAUUAAUACCCCGUAACAUAGGGCUGUGGCAUAAAAUUUCUGUUAUAGAUUAGGCGCUUGUCGCUGGGUGUGCGGCUGAUUAGUUAGUUGGCGGGGUAACGGCCCACCAAGGUUACGAUCAGUAGCUGAUGUGAGAGAAUGAUCAGCCACACGGGCCCUGAGACACGGGACCGACUCCUACGGGAGGCAGCAGUAAGGAAUAUUGGACAAUGGACGCAAGUCUGAUCCAGCCAUGCCGCGUGAAGGAUUAAGGUCCUCUGGAUUGUAAACUUCUUUUAUAAGGGACGAAAAAAGGUCUUUCUAGAUCGUCUGACGGUACCUUAUGAAUAAGCACCGGCUAACUCCGUGCCAGCAGCCGCGGUAAUAC